rnacentral:lncRNA from 1 species
UAUAAGAGAGGUACUUGUGCAUCCUUCAUGCCAGCCACAUAUUAAUCCCAAAUAACUUACAUUAGCCACAACGUGACACACAGCCCCCCGUCUCUCUCUCUGAAUUGCCAGAGUGCGCACUUGGAUUGCUGCCAACAAUUUACUACCUUUUAUUGCUGCCAACAAUUUACUACCUUUUUAUUUAUACAAAAAAGCUGAAUUUCAUUUCCAAUUUACCUGGUAGUUGGAGUAAUCAAUAGGAAUUGAAAUGGCCCUCAAUUUGCUUUCUCCUACUGAAAUUAAGUCAAUCUCUUUCUUGGACACCUCAAAGUCCAGCUACAAUCUUAACCAUCUUAAGUUCUCAGG